rnacentral:rRNA from 1 species
GACGAACGCUGGCGGCGUGCCUAAUACAUGCAAGUAGGACGCAGUUGCGAACGGGUGAGUAACGCGUAGGUAACUACCUAUUAGAGGGGGAUAACUAUUGGAAACGAUAGCUAAUACCGCAUACUAGUAGAUGGACCUGCGUUGUAUUAGCUAGUAGGUAGGGUAAUGGCCUACCUAGGCAACGAUACAUAGCCGACCCUGGAGGGGUAACGGCCACAACUGGACCUAGACACGGCCCAGAACCCUUAGGGAGGGAGCAGUAGGGAAUCUUUGGCCAUGGGGGGAACCCCGACCGAGCAACGGCGCGGGAGUGAAGAAGGUUUUCGGAUCGUAAAGCCUUGUUGUUAAGGAAGCGGUACUUAACCAGAAAGGGACGGCUAACUACGUGCCAGCAGCCGCGGUAAUAC